GUGGGGCUGGGGUCAGUGGUAGAGUGCUUGCCUAGCAUGUGCAAGGCACUGGGUUCUAUUCUCAGCACCACA
rnacentral:tRNA from 1 species